AUUGAACGCUGGCGGCAGGCCUAACACAUGCAAGUCGAGCGGAAACGGAGAUAGCUUGCUAUCAGGCGUCGAGCGGCGGACGGGUGAGUAAUGCCUAGAUAUCUGCCUAGUCGUGGGGGAUAACAGUUGGAAACGACUGAUAAUACCGCAUACGCCAUAUUGGGAAAACUAAGGUGCUGUUCGAUGAGUCUAUGCUGGAUUAGCUAGUUGGUGGGGUAAAAGCCUACCAAGGCAACGAUCUAUAGCUGGUUUGAGAGGAUGAUCAGCCACACUGGAACUGAGACACGGUCCAG
rnacentral:rRNA from 1 species